GUCUAUGGCCAUACCACCCUGAAUGCGCCCGACCUCAUCUGAUCUCAGAAGCUAAGCAGGGUCGGGUCUGGUUAGUACUUGGAUGGAAGAAGAGCUGAUUGGGUAUGGGAGAGACCAGCUCUGCAGAGU
rnacentral:rRNA from 1 species